UCUUCUGAGCCGAUUGGAGCAGAUUGCCGAAGAACAGAAAUCAGCCCCAGAGGUACGAAAGAAGGCAGAUGGGAACAAAAGCGAGAUCUCCCAGGACGACACAGCGUCAGAGGCAGAAAUCAACGCAGAGGAGCCGCUGAACGGAGAGGAAGGAGAGGAGGAGGGACUCACGCGAGAUGCCUGCGAAGACGAACUGUAGCAUGUUCGGGAGAGCGAUGAACACCAGUGCGAGGAGAGCAUGAGGUUAUACCCUGGCUGGGCAUGCUGAGCCGGACAAGCAGAAAAUGCAGGGCUGCUGCCAUCUCUGCCUGGCAUUCCAAAGGAGAAACAUGGACCGACAUCUUCAACCCAUCUGUAAAAGCAAAAACAAAGACCACCAGUCCCCCGAGCGGAUCCUGCUCCUCAGAGCCCGGCUGCCGAUCUGGGCAGCAGACAGACGCGUGCUCCAUGACCGUCACCGCUCAGACUCUGGGAUGGAGGUGUAUUAUAAAACGAGUCGGGGACGUGUUAGAGCCGUCCGUAGGGGCAGGAAGAGAUAACUAGUCUAAUCCAAUAAAGAAUUUAGCUCUCGCGGUAGACGGGGCCGGCCUGUUUGUUAAUGGGUCUGGACAAUUUGUAGUUCCACACAUUUGACCAUGUUCAUGAACAGGGCACGGGGGCAACGUUUUCCUCCUCAACCCAGUCACCUCCUCCCAAGCCCUUUUCAGCCAACGAGCCGCCCUGGCUGCGCGGCCAUCCCCCGGGUAAGGAAAUCGGUAGCAUGGCCCUUGUUGCACACUGGGCCAGCAUGGAGAGAGGCGGAAGCCACUGACAGGAGAAUAAGGGAACCAGAGCAGCAGCUACAAAGCACCUAUUGUCAUCAGAGGCCUGGUUUCUGAGCCGUCCGACUGACCGUGUGUCACUAAGGGGAAACAAAGUCACUGUGGAAUGGGGGGAGGGGAAUGAAAGCAGAGCCAAGUGGCUAGUGUACAACCCGCUUACUGGACGAACAGUUCAGGCUGAGGGGUGCGCUGCCACCUCUUCCCCUCCGGCCCAGCAUCCAUGCCGUGUGCGACAGGCGACUCGGCCCCUAUAGCCGCAUGGCCACACACCAGCCCUGGCUCCAGCCUCCCUCGGGGCCUUCAAGGUCUGGCUGAGGGAGGGGCGAGCUGGCCCCUGCCCCAGACCACACAGGCUGCGCUCUGCAUCGCGCUGGGCGGCGAACUCGCCUGAGUUAAAGGGUUAGAGCCCAGCCCGCUGGGCCUGAGGGGCCUUCAAGCGUUUCCCGCCCCAGCCCUGCCGCCGCACGGCCCUUGGCCACUCACUGCCCAGACGACAAAGGGCAGCAGCAGACAUGGGGGGGGGGGGUUCUUCAUACAAAAGUCUCCAAAAGGGCCCCUCCCCCCACUUUCCCUUCUGUUGCAUGAUCCCAGAUUCCCUCGAUUGGGCCUCUGCCUAGUCGCUGGCUGCAGACGUCGGUAGAGCUGAGACUGCAGUGCCAGGCCAACUGGCGGGCCAUCUCCCCGGCCCUAGAUCAGACUCCAAGAACCAGGGUGAAACUAAGCAGAGUGACCGAGAGCUACUCCACCAGUGUCAGAGCGGCCUCCUGCUUUCUACUGCAGCACUCAAACCCAGGCGUCUCAGUCUUUAGGGAGAGAUGGAGUGGAAAGCAAGCCAUGGAACGGGGCUUGCCUCAGAGAGAACCUGGCCUACCUGUGACCCUGGCUGUUGAAGCACAACGUUUUUCUUGCAUUUCUUCACUGGAAAUAUUUGAGGGCUACAAGGGAAGAACGUUACUUUCUUUUCCUUCUCUUCCUUCCACGUUUCAGUUCCCAGACCAUUUGUUUGUCCAGCGUGCUGUGCCGAGCCCUUGUAUCAUUGUAGUCUAGGCUUUGAGAGAUGAGCUGCAAUUUUUGCUAUGAACUGACCGCGAUGCUGCUGUUUGGGAAGAAGAUGGCCUUGUACAUAAAGUCCUGUAUAAUAAAAAAGGGGAAUUAUUCCA